rnacentral:rRNA from 1 species
UACGUAGGGUGCAAGCGUUAUCCGGAAUUAUUGGGCGUAAAGAGCUCGUAGGCGGCUCAUUGCGUCAACCGUGAAAUCCUGCUGCUCAACGGCAGGUCUGCGGUUGAUACGGGUGGGCUGGAGUUCGGUAGGGGAGACUGGAAUUCCCGGUGUAGUGGUGAAAUGCGUAGAUAUCGGGAGGAACACCAGUGGCGAAGGCGGCUACCUGGCCCAUUCUUGACGCUGAGGCGCGAAAGCUAGGGGAGCAAACGGG